UGGUGGUGAGGAUAAUAUUGAGCGCUCGUAUAUAUAGGCUACACAAGCAUUGUGGGCCGGCCAAUGCAGGGCAGGCAGCGGAGGUAGGUGUGCGAUUCGGAUCCCCUCCGCACAUACAUACCUGGUUGCAGGCAGCGUGUGCGAUUCGGAAUCACUCCGCACACACCUGGUUGCAGAGUGCGGAGUGGGGCACCAAAAUAAAACUUCCGGGUCCAACCGCUCCGUCGAACAUCAAAACAAACAACGAUGGCUGAACCAGUGAACCUUUUUACGAUUACUUCUUUCUUCAGUGAGACACCUGAAAGAGUAAAGAAAGGGUUGAAUUCGUUUCACUCCAACAGAGUGGUCAGUGUAGCCGUUUUGCCUCGGGGAGUUAUAAAGGGUAGCGUCCAGGCAUCACAGAAAAAAGAAAGUUUACGAGGUUGAGGUGAGUAGGAAGUUAGCCGUUGACAUCUAGGCUAGUUGACAUCUAAGUUAACGUUAAAGAUGAUACGUUAUUCCAUGGGUGCCAUGCCGUAAUUCCGACGCCUCAUUGUUCCGACGUCUCAAUGGUCCGAAAUAUUUCCCAUUAGAUCGACAUGCCACUAUGCUGACGGUUCAAUGUUCCGAAAACGGAACCCCUUGGUCCGAAGGUCCGUUUGUCCGACUUGUCAAAAAGGAGGCGUCUUGGGCCGACGGUUCAAUAUGCCGAAUAGUCCGAGGCUCAAUUCCACAUGUGUGAUUAUGAAACCAAAGAUAAAAGACGAUGUAGGCUAAGUUCCAGCAGUGCACUUCACCAAGGCAGACUUUUUCUGUGGGCUUGAACGGUCACAAGAGGUGAAUUUAUGAAGCGCACGUUAUACAAGGACCCCGUAAAGAAGUCAAACGAGACACAAGGUAAACCAGCUUGAGUUCUGGAGGUGGUCCAUGAAGCAUCUCUCGAACACAGGGCACCACAUGCGCUUCAGUAAACAGAAGCGUCUCCAGCAUAGCAGGAACGGUCGCAGACAGGCAUCUUCUCCCGUGUUCCCACCAGCCAGGUAACAUACAGAUCAAGUAAAAUCGUAUAAUUUGCCCUCUAAGCCCAACGUGUAG
ensembl:lncRNA